rnacentral:rRNA from 1 species
ACUCCUACGGGAGGCAGCAGUGGGGAAUCUUAGACAAUGGGCGCAAGCCUGAUCUAGCCAUGCCGCGUGAGUGAUGAAGGCCUUAGGGUCGUAAAGCUCUUUCGCCAGGAUGAUAAUGACAGUACCUGGUAAAGAAACCCCGGCUAACUCCGUGCCAGCAGCCGCGGUAAUACGGAGGGGGUUAGCGUUGUUCGGAAUUACUGGGGCGUAAAGCGCGCGUAGGCGGAUUAGUCAGUUAGAGGUGAAAUCCCGAGGGCUCAACCCUGGAACUGCCUUUAAUACUGCUAGUCUUGAGUUCGAGAGAGGUGAGUGGAAUUCCGAGUGUAAGAGGUGAAAUUCGUAGAUAUUCGGAGGAACACCAGUGGCGAAGGCGGCUCACUGGCUCGAUACUGACGCUAGAGGUGCGAAAGUGUGGGGAGCAAACAGGAUUAGAUACCCUGGUAGGA